rnacentral:rRNA from 1 species
UCGGCGAUGGAUCAUUCAAGUUUCUGACCUAUCAGCUUUCGACGGUACUGUAUUGGACUACCGUGGCAGUGACGGGUAACGGGGAAUUAGGGUUCGAUUCCGGAGAGGGAGCCUGAGAAACGGCUACCACAUCUAAGGAAGGCAGCAGGCGCGCAAAUUACCCAAUCCUGACUCAGGGAGGUAGUGACAAGAAAUAACAACACUGGAAAUUAUAUUUCUAGUGAUUGGAAUGAUGGGAAUCCAAACCCCUUUCAGAGUAACAAUUGGAGGGCAAGUCUGGUGCCAGCAGCCGCGGUAAUUCCAGCUCCAAUAGCGUAUAUUAAAGUUGUUGCAGUUAAAAAGCUCGUAGUUGGAUAUCUGCUGGAAGCAGCCAGUCCGCCCUUUGCGGGUGUGCACUUGGUGAAUUCUGGCAUCCUCCUGAUUGGUGUCAUCAUCACUUCAUUGUGUUGGUGGCAGCUGUCAGGACCGUUACUUUGAGAAAAUUAGAGUGUUUCAAGCAGGCUUGUUGCCUUGAAUACUGCAGCAUGGAAUAACAAGAUAGGAUUUCGGUUCUAUUUUGUUGGUUUCUAGGACUGAAGUAAUGAUUAAUAGGGACAGUUGGGGGCAUUCGUAUUUAACUGUCAGAGGUGAAAUUCUUAGAUUUGUUAAAGACGAACUACUGCGAAAGCAUUUGCCAAAGAUGUUUUCAUUAAUCAAGAACGAAAGUUAGGGGCUCGAAGACGAUCAGAUACCGUCGUAGUCUUAACCAUAAACUAUGCCGACUAGAGAUAGG